rnacentral:tRNA from 1 species
CAAUAUGGCUCAGUCGGUAGAGCGACGCACUCGUAAUGCGUAGGUCAGGGGUUCGAAUCCCCUUAUUGG